rnacentral:lncRNA from 1 species
AGAGCCGCGGCAGAGGCAGAGGAGGGAGCUAGGAGGUGAGACCCGCUCCACCCUGCUCGCCUAGGCUCGGCGGAGGCUAAGAGCAGGGCAGCCUCCUCUGCCCGGCGCCCGCUGAGCCCCGGCAUCUGGAACUCAGGGCCCUGGCGCUCCAGGGGCGGGAACUGGCCGGGAGGACCGCGCGGGAGAGCACGGAUGGGCACCCUGGGCUCGAUCUUCUCACCUGGGGCGGGUGGGUUCUGCACCACCCUCCCACCCUCCUUCCUCCGUGUGGACGAUAGAGCCACAUCCAGCACCACGGACAGCUCCCGGGCGAUCCCAUGGGAGUAGAAGAGGUGUGAGCAGGUUGCCCAGCUGGUUAGCGGAAAUGCCAAGAUCCAGGCUCCUGAAUUUCAGCCUGGCCCUUUCUAUCUGUCUGAUACCUCCUUUACGAGUCUCUCUGCCUGCGUUGUGUGGAGCGGGCCUGCUGCUGGUUGGGGGAGUUUGCAGGUUGCCCCUAUGCAAAAAAGGACAGGAUGCAUGACUGGCAUGUAAGGUGUUCAGGAAAACCAGGAAAAGCACUGGAAGCUGAGGGUUUUGACAGCGGCAGGCCACAUAGGCAAGGAAGCUGGUGCAUGCAGUGUCUCUGGGCAAGGUUAUGCAACCUUCAUCUCCUCGUCCUCCAGGCAGCACAAGCCAUUGUGGAAUCUCCACCAGGUGUACAGAACGGUGCCUCUGCGUCCUGCCACUCAGGACCUCUCAAGUCCCCGAUGUGAUGGCUCCUCAGCAUGAUCAGGAACCAAAAAGAAGAAUGUACUUCAUCUGGUUGGGCUGGAUUCCCUCUGAUAAGCCUUCCCAGUUGACUGAAAGAUGAGGCUAGGCUCUAGCAAGUUGAAGUCAAACCAGCUCCUUCAAGAAGCUUUGAGCAGAAUGAAGUGGGGAGGACCCAGCUUCCAGCCCAGGAAGCCCACUGUACCUGGAGCCAUCUGGGAUAAGACUUUGACCCAUGACUCCCAUAUCCACAGCCUGUCCAUCCUAGCCCAUCCCAGUUUAUCCUGUAUCAUUUGAGCUGGGAUUCCCACAUCCUCUGAGUUGGAAGUCCCAUCUCAAGUCUUCAAUAAAGACUCUUGAAUAUUGAAUCACA